rnacentral:tRNA from 1 species
AGGGAGAUAGUUUAAUGGCAAAAUGGUGUUUUGGUAAAGCCUGUGGGCUUUAUUAAAGCAAUGAUGUGAGUUCAAUUCUUACUCUCCCUG